AGAGCCAAUGAUUAUCUGUUACCGCCCCAGUCUGAUGUUUGGUGACUGACUGGUAUCUUCUGAGGUUCU